UCCUAGACCUCAUUUAAGGGUUGGCAGUGGAGGGGAGAGGACCUCUCUGGAGAUCCUUGUGUUCCUGAGGUCUGCUGAAGGGGAUAUAACGUCAAUUCUGCAACAGCGGGAAGGACGAGCGCCGCCUCCCCUCACCUCGCCCCGCCUCCCUCACCUCAGGGGAGCCGCGAAGGCCACGCCCCGGGCGGCCGCUGGGGGAGCGGCUAUGGAGCCUCUGGGGUCCUGCUGCUCUCAAGUCACCGUAAGGCUGAGCGUCGUCGAGCUCCGCUGCGAACGGGACUGGGCUGCGCCUGGAGCAGCCCUGGCGCCGGCUGCGAACGUAGCGGGCACGUCAUGGCUGCUGCCCGCGGAGGGCGGCUGUGCCCGGCCCGCCAAGGGGAGCUGCCGCCGCCGCCCUGAGGGGAGCUGGCUGCCCCGUGGCCGAGGUACUUGUGUACAUGUGUAUGUCAGUGUGCUUAUACACACGAUGAAGAACUGGAGGAUAAAAAUUGGAUGAGUUAUUUCCACUUCGAGGAACAAUAUGGAAUCCCCGAACACUGGUGUUGCCCAUGUCAGCUGAAGAGCCAGUACCUGAGUGAAGGCAGCAGCUGCUGUGCUGGGUCAUCAUGCUGCAGAAUAUUGAUCAGAAAGCAUGUCCAGAAGCUCUGGAUAACUCCUAACUCUUGUCCAAACCAUGGAAAUAAUCAGUUGAAACUGCAAGAGGAGGAUGAAAAAGAAGAUAUAUGUCAAGUAAAUGAUUGGGGGGGAAAAUGUAAGAAGGGAAAACUCUAAGAAGAAGUGAGGAAGAACAUAAAUUUUUAUUGCUGAGGUAAGAGCAGUGCAAGGAACUGAGUGGUGAAUGGUUUUGAAAGGAAUAUUUGAUUUCUUUUAGGAUUUGGAAGUAUCUUUUGCAGGGAUAGGAGGGGGGAAUGGUGACUUACGACUAUUAAAAGAUGCCAUUGUUCACCUUCCCAGGAACUUCUGCCCCCAGUGUAGCUUGUAUAGUUGAGAUGUUCUAAGGGUUACCUGAAUUGCUUAUAACUAAUUUUCACGUUUUAAUUUUAAUUUGAAUGUAUUGCAUUUAUGACUAAAGAAUUUUUUUGCAUGCAAGCACUUGAGUCAUCAAUGCUAUAUUAUACUGCUUUCAUCAUUAUGUAAAUCUUUGUGUUCAGAGAAUUACAUAUGGGAAACAUGGUUGUUCAGAUCUUUAUGUACGCUGUGUAACCAGAAGCCACAAGGAUAAUUUAUAGAUGUUAAACUGAAACAAGUUCACUUUGUCUUUUGUUCUGUUUCAAAGCUGCUAUGAAAGGAGGGUUGAGAGCAUCAGGUCUGGUUUUCUUGUCAGACCCUCUGUUUGUUGCAGCCCUGGCACUUUGGCUUUUUUCACACUAGUGGGUGAUGCAGCCCCAAGGAGGAGGAAAGCCUGGUUUUGCAUUUUGGGACAGAGUACAGUGCUAUUGCUAUGGCACUAUUCUCAACUCUCACAUCAAGCAUGAAGACUUGUUGGCAGAAUCAGGAACUGUGUUUCACAGAGCUGUGCUCUUUCCUCCUGGACUCUUUUUACCUCCUUUUGUAUAAGAUAACCAUGCUUUACAAAGUGUUGUUUUUUAGUUGAGUUUCCUUUUUUCCUGUUCCAGAGUAACUGAAACCAUGUGGAUUCUCAUUUCUCCUUAGAUGACUAUUUUCAGCUUCUGUUGUUGCAGACAGAAAACAUGCUAGAGAUAAAUGUGGAAACACAUGUUUAAAUAAUGGAUUGGAUUACAGUCAGUGGUUAUUGAAGAAUAAUUUACUGAUAUAAUUAAAAACGGGCUCUUUGUGAGCAAAUAAUACAAUAAAACUUACCUGAAGGAUUUAAACAA